CUUGAGUAACUAUAAGAGGUCCAGCCUGCCCAGUGACUUUGUUCAACGGCCGCGGUAUCCUAACCGUGCGAAGGUAGCGUAAUCACUUGUCUUUUAAAUGGGGACUUGUAUGAACGGCAUCACGAGGGUUAUACUGUCUCCUUUUUCUAAUCAGUGAAACUAAUCUUCCCGUGAAGAAGCGGGAAUAAACAUAUAAGACGAGAAGACCCUAUGGAGCUUUAAACUCAAUAACAAAUACUGACCUUUCAUCAACUUUCAGAAGAUUCACCUUAAUUUUAGUAUUAUGAUUAUUAGUUUUAGGUUGGGGUGACCGCGGAGUAAAAAUUAACCUCCACAUUGAACGGGACCUAUCCCUGAGCCAAGAACUACAGCUCAAAGCACCAACAAAUUGACAUUAAUUGACCCAAUAUUUUGAUCAACGAAC
rnacentral:rRNA from 1 species